rnacentral:misc_RNA from 1 species
AAGAAAUGUCGAGCAAAGGAGAAAUAUUCAUGUUACGCUAGAGUUCGCUCAAAGAAUCUGAACCUUGUAUUGACAAAUCAGCAGGACGCAAGACACAAAAAUCCCUACUCAGAGCAGAAAACGUAUCAGAACUUGGGUGGAGACCGGCUUCCAGAUGCUUUAAAAGGUCCGCUCGAACCGAACGGAUCGGUGUCAUCGAAAGAGUCAAACCGACCAAAAUUUCUUGAGCUAUUCCCUGUAUCGAAUCCUGAUACAUCCUCGCCUUUGGAGCUGCUAAUGGAGUCAAACCUGGAGAAACCACUUUCCUGGGGGAAGAACCCAGUGUCUUGGGAUCUGAAGGAAUCAAACUUCCCAAAGCUAUAAGAGGAGCUAUCAUCACGGCUUUCACCGAAUUUUGGAGAGAACCCAGAUGUGUAUGCAGGGGUACUUGGGACAGAAUCAUCAAAGAACGAACUCCUCUUCUUUCCAAAUACACUAGCGCCACUUGGAGAGCCUGCCUCGGACCCAAAGAAAGAGUUAUGUGUGCCACUGCCACCGUGUUGGUCCGCCUCCUGUAUUAAAACAGUUCAUUAGAAACAGCACGGUCUAUAUACCCCCUAUAUAUAUCAGAACAAGAUUGAAGAAACUGCAUAGCUCACAGCGUUCAGUGCAGUAGAACCCCAAACAGAGUCAGUAUCUUGAUCAUCAAAGUUCCAGGAAGUUUCAUCACCAAACUUGUCACCAAAAACAGAUUCAGAACCGCCAUGGUCA